rnacentral:lncRNA from 1 species
AGACCACAAGGUGGAGCAGCGUGGUGGGGUUGGGGGGGAGACCACAAGGUGGAGCAGCGUGGUGGGGUUGGGGGGGAGACCACAAGGUGGAGAAGCGUGGUGGAGUUGGGGGGGAGACCACAAGGUGGAGCAGCGUGGUGGAGUUGGGGAGGGGAGACCACAAGGUGGAGCAGCGUGGUGGAGUUGGGGAGGGGAGACCACAAGGUGGAGCAGCGUGGUGGGGUUGGGGGGGAGACCACAAGGUGGAGCAGCGUGGGGCCAUUUGGGACACAGACGUGGAAGGAUGUGAAAAACAAAAUGGCCAACCUUGAGUCUUUAAUACAGGAAAAGCACAUUUUAGAACAAAGCUUUGAAAAAACAUUUAGAAGCUCACUGUCUCUCUGAGGUGUUCAGGGAAAAUAAGAACAAUUUAUAGUCUAUAGCAGGGACGUUCAACUCUGACCCCUGGAGGUCCAGAGCAUGCUGCUUUUCUGUUCUACCUGCUAAUUCAUUGCAACCACCUGAUGUCCCAGGUCUAAAUCAGUCCCUGAUUAGAGGGGAACAAUGAAACAAAGCAGUGGAACUGGCUUCCAGGUUCAGAGUUGAGUUUGAGGGCCUUUCUUUCUUCAGAC